GAGCAAUGAUGAAAAGGUUUUAAUAUUGACUUUCAUAACUCUGAAAGUUUCUACACUUGAUCUGAGCUCA